UACGAAGGGUGCAAGCGUUACUCGGAAUUACUGGGCGUAAAGCGUGCGUAGGUGGUUUGUUAAGUCUGUUGUGAAAGCCCCGGGCUCAACCUGGGAAUGGCAAUGGAUACUGGCAAGCUAGAGUGCGGUAGAGGGUAGUGGAAUUCCCGGUGUAGCGGUGAAAUGCGUAGAGAUCGGGAGGAACAUCAGUGGCGAAAGCGACUUCCUGGACCAGUACCGACGUUCAGGCACGAAAGCGUGGGGAGCAAACGGG
rnacentral:rRNA from 1 species